GACGAACGCUGGCGGCGCGCUUAACACAUGCAAGUCGAGCGAAGCGGCGGACGGGUGAGUAACACGUGAGUAACCUGCCUUAGACAUUGGGAUAGCCUAGUGAAACCGAGAUUAAUACCAAAUGGUCUAAGAUGGCGGCGCGUCCCAUUACCUGGUUGGUGAGGUAACGGCCCACCAAGGCGUCGAUGGGUAGCCGGCCUGUGAGGCAGAACGGCCACGUUGGAGCUAGGAAGCGGUCCAAACUCUACGGGAGGCAGCAGUGGGGAAUACUGCACAAUGGAGGGAACUCUGAUGCAGCGAGGCCGCGUGAACGAAGAAGGCUUUCGAGUCGUAAAGUUCUUUUAUAUGGGAAGCGGUACCAUAAGAAAAAGCCCCGGCUAACUACGUGCCAGCAGCCGCGGUAAUAC
rnacentral:rRNA from 1 species